GUCAGUACCGGCACCCAGGUGUGCCCAGGUGUGCCCAGGUGUGCCCAGGUGCCCCCAGGCGCUCACCGUUGAUGAGGUAGGGGUGGUUGCAGCACUUGCGCAGCUCCAUCAUGGUGUUGAGCAGGUUGGGCACGUUGCCGUGCCCCGCCCCGCGCGCCAGGUAGGCGAAGUUGCGCUCCAGGAUGGCGCCGCCUGUGCCCAGGUGUGCCCAGGUGUGCCCAGGUGUAUCUG